AGAGUUUGAUCAUGGCUCAGGAUGAACGCUAGCGGCAGGCCUAAUACAUGCAAGACGAACGGUAAGUUGAGUAGCAAUACUUAGCCAAGAGUGUCGUACGGGUGCGUAACACGUAUGCAACCUACCCUAUACAGGAGGAUAGCCUAGGGAAACCUGGAUUAACCCUUCAUAGUAUUAUUGGAUGGCAUCAUUUGAUAAUUAAAACUGAGGUGGUAUAGGAUGGGCAUGCGUCUGAUUAGUUAGUUGGCGGGGUAAUGGCCCACCAAGACGAUGAUCAGUAGGGGUUCUGAGAGGAAGAUCCCCCACACUGGCACUGAGAUACGGGCCAGACUCCUACGGGAGGCAGCAGUAGGGAAUAUUGGUCAAUGGAUGCAAGUCUGAACCAGCCGUGCCGCGUGCAGGAAGAAGGCCUUCCGGGUUGUAAACUGCUUUUGCCAGGGGAUAAAAUUUCCAUGCGUGGAAAACUGAAGGUACCUGGUGAAUAAGCCACGGCUAACUACGUG
rnacentral:rRNA from 1 species